UGGUGGAGCUGCUGGUGCAUCACGGG
rnacentral:piRNA from 1 species